ensembl:lncRNA
UAUAAUUGCAUUAUUAUUGUAAAGAAUAAAGAAAAGUAUAAAAUAAUUUUUUUGUUAUUUAAGGGUUUCACUAUAUGAAAGUUUAAAGAGAUUUAAUUUAGCAUAAAAUGUGUUAAUUCUAACUCUAAAAAUAAAAUAAAAAAAUUAAAAUUAAGCAAUAAAUAAAUCAAUAAAAAAGAAUGCAUAAAUUAAAGGCAGUACAACCAUGAUGCCUAAAAAAAAAACCAAUGAGAAAGAGACUUCUUUUUAGGAUAAAAUACAGGAUGACCCAGAUAAAUAAGAAACAGAUAAAGACAUUUUAGUACAAGUGAUGAGAUUAAAAAGUGCACGUGCGGAAAAAAUAAGUGCAUCUUUUUUUUUUUUUUUUUUUGAUGUUUUCUAAAACAUUUGCCAUUUGUGAAACGGUCCUAAAGAAGCUUUCUCUUCCAAGUACGUGAGGAUAUUGUCUUAUAUAAGAUGAUCUCUGAAAAUGUAAAAAUAGCAGCCAAUAUUUUCAAUGCUCUAUUUACUGACUAACAGCAAUAUUAAAGUCAAUUUCACCACCACCCCAGGCAUAUACACCUGUCAUAGUGAGCAAAACUUUUACAGGGCACUUUCCAAAUGGCACCUCCCCUGGAAAAAUGCACAAGGCUAUGAAACUCCUUUUAUUUUUAGACAGAUCUCAGGUACACAGCAUUAUCAUUCAGCAGACCAGAUCCGUCAGUCAACAGACCAAUCCUCCAGGUUUAAUGCUACUGCAUUAUACCUACAGACAUUGUGGAGGAAGGUUGGAGAAUGACAUCUGGAUGAAGCUAAGAAAAGACACUCACAUGGAAUUGAGAGGAAGGAGAGGUCAAAAAGGGUAUCCCCAUAGACCAAACAAUAGGUGAGAAUGUGGGACAAUGGUACACAGUUUCAGCCAUGAACUGAACAUGAACAUGAACAACAGCACUGCAGUCAGUACACUUUUGAUCAUCUUAGAUGGAGGUAAAUGUGUUAACACAGGGGUCAUUAGACAGAAGACAGGAAGAAGAUAAGAGGAUCGUAUGGCUGUUUCACACUGCACUCAUAAGCAGCACGCAACAAGGUUCUAUCCAUAAAAUAAAGUGAUUUCUGGGUCUCUUCAGUAAGUAUUUCCUUUAAUAGCAGCAAUAACACAUUUAUCUGAUGUCUUGCACAAGUUCAGAAUGAAAUGUUUUUGUAGGUUAUUGUCAAAUAAAUUUUUAUUUUUUAUUUUUGUACUGUGGGAAAGUUAUAGUAUGUUU